UGGGGAAUCUUGCGCAAUGCGCGAAAGCGUGACGCAGCAACGCCGCGUGGAGGAAGACGGUCUUCGGAUUGUAAACUCCUUUCAGUUGGGACGAAGCUCAACAGGUUAAUAGCCUGGUGGAGUGACGGUACCUUCAGAAGAAGCCCCGGCUAACUACGUGCCAGCAGCCGCGGUAAUACGUAGGGGGCUAGCGUUGUCCGGAAUCAUUGGGCGUAAAGCGCGUGUAGGCGGUCCGGUAAGUCCGCUGUGAAAGUCGGGGGCUCAACCCUCGAAUGCCGGUGGAUACUGUCGGGCUAGAGUGCGGAAGAGGCGAGUGGAAUUCCUGGUGUAGCGGUGAAAUGCGCAGAUAUCAGGAGGAACACCAAUUGCGAAGGCAGCUCGCUGGGACGUAACUGACGCUGAGACGCGAAAGCGUGGGGAGCAAACA
rnacentral:rRNA from 1 species